rnacentral:rRNA from 1 species
CUGCGAGUGAAGCGGGAAGAGCUCAAAUUUCGAAUCUGGCGGUCUCGGGCCGUCCGAGUUGUAAUCUAGAGAAGCGUCUUCCGCGCCGGGCCCGUGUACAAGUCUCCUGGAAGGGAGCGUCGUAGAGGGUGACAAUCCCGUCUCCGACACGGACGUCCGGGGCUAUGUGAUGCGCUCUCGACGAGUCGAGUUGUUUGGGAAUGCAGCUCAAAUCGGGUGGUAAACUCCAUCUAAAGCUAAAUACUGGCGAGAGACCGAUAGCGAACAAGUACCGUGAGGGAAAGAUGAAAAGGACUUUGGAAAGAGAGUCAAACAGUACGUGAAAUUGCUGGAAGGGAAACGCUUGACGUCAGUCGCGUCGGCCGGGGAUCAACCUCGCUUCUCGCUGGGUGCACUUCUCGGUCGACGGGUCAGCAUCGAUUUCGGCCGUCGUAGAAGGACGGGAGGAACGUGGCACUCUCCGGAGUGUGUUAUAGC